CUUCUGAAAGGGAUCAUCUUUAUGUGGAAAGAUUGAGACUUUGACGGAGAGGAAUCAGAGAUUGAGCAAUCGCCCUACGAGAGCAAGGACAAGUAAGCGCAGGGGAAGGACAGAAGUUGAGAUGAGAUAUGUCAAAGGUGAAGCCUUUUUGAACCAAUCUCUGUCGGGAAAUUGAUUUUUGUCCGAUUGAUUGAGAGAGGUUAAAAAUCAAAGGUUUUUAUGACCUAGUGCGGACUCUGUUCUUUAAUUUUUCGAAAACUAUUUUGAAGCCCCUCGAGAAUCUUUUAUUUUAUAUAAUGGCCCCGUUGUUUUUUAUUUUUUCAAUUUUGAAGUUGAGAAGUUUUGUAACUUUGGGAUUUUAGUGACGGAUAUACAUUGAAUGUUUAAGAAAUGGGAUUGGAGAAACGGAAGAGAAAAGAACAUUAGUUAUGUUCAAGUCCUAAUGAAAUAAGACUAUUUACAAAUCCAUUGGACGUGUGUUCAAGAGCAGGCGCAUGACAAUCCAUCGAUCUUCAACGGGAUAAAAGUUCGCGAGCUCUUCUUUUUGUCUACUCCCGGAUGAACUUAUGUAGUUCGAGUUGGUCCUAUUUAAUGUGCUUGUUGAAAUGUUACUUUUCUUAAUUAAAAAAGGAUAUGAGAGUAGGUUUAGAUCAUUUAUCAAGCCUCUAGAAAAUUGUUACUUGCACUCACAAUCUCCAAAAUAAACAGAUCCAAGAAAAAUAAGAUAAAUCUCUGUCUGUGUAGAUAAAUAAAAAGGGAGUUGAUCCAAAACAUGUUCUACAAACGAUUGUUCCAACUUAAACGUAAAAAAACACAAAACAUAAAAGGUUCAGAGAGUUAUGGAUAGGCAUGGAGA